rnacentral:rRNA from 1 species
GACGAACGCUGGCGGCGUGCUUAACACAUGCAAGUCGUACGGUAAGGCCCUUUCGGGGGUACACGAGUGGCGAACGGGUGAGUAACACGUGAGUAACCUUCCCACAACUUUGGGAUAACGCUAGGAAACUGGUGCUAAUACUGGCUAUGUGCUCCUGCUGCAUGGUGGGGGUUGGAAAGCUCCGGCGGUUGUGGAUGGACUCGCGGCCUAUCAGCUUGUUGGUGGGGUAGUGGCCUACCAAGGCGGCGACGGGUAGCCGGCCUGAGAGGGUGACCGGCCACACUGGGACUGAGAGACGGCCCAGACGCCGACGGGAGGAAGCAGUGGGGAAUAUUGCACAAGGGGCGCAAGCCGGAUGCAGCAGCGCCGCGGGCGGGAAGACGGCCUUCGGGUUGUAAACCGCUUUCAGCAGGGACGAAGCUGUUUGUGACGGUACCUGCAGAAGAAGCACCGGCUAACUACGUG